rfam:Microgenomates (Levybacteria) bacterium GW2011_GWA2_40_16 TT85_C0038, whole genome shotgun sequence.
CGGAGUGUAGUGAACCGGUAUCACGCUGCGUUCGGGACGCAGAGCAACUGGGUUCGAUUCCCAGCACUCCGA